AUGAGAAAUAUGUUGAAAACAAUCUGUACCGCCGUUUGAUUCUGGUUUUUAAUGAACAAAAAGGGCAGAUUUUUGCACAACCUUACAACAUCACAACCCCUGCUAACGAUCUGUCCAAGCCUUUCACCAUUGACCAAGUCAAGAAGCUGACUUCAAAUGACUUGACCACAACUGACGCGUGUAGAAUCCAGUUCACUCGUAAGGGAGCUAACUCAUUCACAGCACUCUGGCCAGAUUGUAAAGUCCUCGAUAAUGGGGUUUUUCCAAAAUACCAUCUGACCUGGUUUUGCAACUCUCUCACGGCCAUCAUUAGUAGCCCUAAGCAUCUUGAUUACACGACAUCACCUGUACCUUUGACCAGAGAAGGAUCAAGGUAUCCUUUUCCAUCGUACCUGAAGGCAGUCGAAGACAAUAGUUUCUGCGAGUAAUAUUUAUUUAUGGAGGGCCUGAUUUAGAAACAAGUCUUUGAGGUUUCGAAAAAUUUAUGUAGAGAGUUUGUAGAAGUGGUCUAUUAAUUUUUUAAUUUAAUAUUUUUA